rnacentral:rRNA from 1 species
UAACGGCUCAUCACGACUGCGAUGGGUAGCUGGUCUGAGAGGACGAUCAGCCACACUGGGACUGAGACACGGCCCAGACUCCUACGGGAGGCAGCAGUGGGGAAUCUUGCGCAAUGCGCGAAAGCGUGACGCAGCAACGCCGCGUGGGGGAAGAAGGCCUUCGGGUUGUAAACCCCUUUCAGUUGGGACGAAGCUCCGUCGGUGAAUAGCCGGCUGGAGUGACGGUACCUUCAGAAGAAGCCCCGGCUAACUACGUGCCAGCAGCCGCGGUGAUACGAGGGGGGCAAGCGUUGUUCGGAAUUAUUGGGCGUAAAGGGUGCGUAGGCGGUUUGACAAGUCUAAUGUGAAAUUUUUGGGCUCAACCCAUAGUCUGCAUUGGAAACUGUCGGGCUUGAGUAUGGGAGAGGUGAGUGGAAUUUCCGGUGUAGCGGUGAAAUG